CCCAGUUUAGAAUAGAAAUUAAUUAGGCCUUAUGCCUUUUAUUCACAUGGAAUGGGAAAUAUACUGCUAUAUAUAUCAUAGGGCUUUUGCCCUUUUUGCUGCAUAUAGGCAGCAAGCUGCCUCUAAUGGUGCAAUUUGCACCGCAGCAACAUCCUACAAAACAACAACCAAUGUGCAAAUUUCUGCACAGCUGUAGCAACGAAAAAAUAAAUAAAUUCUUAAGGGUUCUUAUUGGGUUCAAGGUUUGAUCCAAGAAAGUGGUACAAAUCAUUCAAGAAUGCAGGUGACGGUGAGAAUCGCGUUGGCUAGAGGAUCCGAGUGGCAUAUUCCUGGUGAGCCUCGCAAUUAUUCGCGUGGGCUAUAGUUUAUUUAUUCGUUAUGAUUCUGUUUCUUGAAAAAUUCUUAGUUUGCUCCAUAGUCAUGUCUUUAGAGUUUUGGGUCUUUCGUUAUUUUAUAUUUGUGGAAUGUUGGAUUUUCUCUCAGCUUUGGAGAUGAUUUUUGUAUUGUUAUUUGGUGGUAUUGGAGAAGUGUUGAUGAUCUAUGGUGAAUUAUGUUGGUGUUUGUGUGGUGGUUGUGCUGCCGGGUUGUUUUGUUAUUGAAUUUGAGGCAGGAAAUUUUCUUGUUAGGCCCCAAAACAAGGAGGAACUCUGCCCGAUUUUCUGUAAAAUUCUGACGAGGCUGGUUUUGGAGUCCUAAACUCCUUAGUGCUGGUCAUGAUCCUAUUCCGGGUCGUGACACUUUCAUGUUGGUAUAUUCUACUUCAUCAUAAUGUACUGCUGUUACAAAUAGUUAUGUUAUAUUAUUAUGCUCAUAUAUAAUGUACUUCUUUUUUUCUUUA